rnacentral:misc_RNA from 1 species
CAUUUGUACUCUCAAGCUUUGCUUGGUGUUGGGUGUUUGUCCUUGCCUUUGUGCUUGGACUCGCCUUAAAUUCAUUGGCAGCCAAUGUAUUGGUUUGAAGCGCAGCACAAUUUGCGGUUUUGACUGAUUAUCAUUAGCGUCCAUAAAGCACAAUUAACACUUUUGACCUCGGAUCAAGUAGGGAUACCCGCUGAACUUAA